rnacentral:rRNA from 1 species
AGUAAAAACCGUGCCUCCCUGAACGUGCCCGAGCCCGUCUGAUCGCGGACGCUAAGCAGGGUCGGGCCUGGUGAGUACUUGGAUGCGAGACCCACCUCGGAAGACCAGGCGCUGUAGGCG